rnacentral:misc_RNA from 1 species
GGGGAACCUGCGGCUGGAUCACCUCCUUUCUAAGGAAGCUGUGGAACUGGUAAGACGAUCUUCCGACAAGUCUUCGACUUGUCUCGAGAUAUGAACCUUCCCGUGCUUUUUAGAACAUAGAUGGCACCAGUCAGGUGACCAUCGAAACGUAAUACGCCGCGAUGACUUCGGUCACGACGGUAUGGCGAGCUUUCGCCGUCCACGUUUCUCUUUCUUCAAGAAGACAAAAAACCGCGUCGACCGGUUCCCCGAAUGGGCCCGUAGCUCAGUUGGUUAGAGCACACGCUUGAUAAGCGUGGGGUCGGAAGUUCAAGUCUUCCCGGGCCCACCAUUUGCACCAGCAAAUGAAAUUUGCUGUAAGCAGAUGAGGGUUAGGGAUGAUGGAAUGUCAGGCGAUGCGGAUUGUUGCCGAACCUUGGGGCUUGUCCUUGGGGUGAUCGAGCUGGAGGGGCUGUAGCUCAGCUGGGAGAGCACCUGCUUUGCAAGCAGGGGGUCAGCGGUUCGAUCCCGCUCAGCUCCACCAAAUCGAUUGGUGUUGAAGCUGACGGCAUUUGUCUUUUGAAGAAAAUAAGGUUUUGCAUCGGUUUAGGCUGAUGCGUGUUCUGCAUACAUUGUGAAGAGAAGAUUGAUCUGGAGGCUUCCAGGUGUUGUGGGUUUUUACCCGUGAUGUCCGAGCCCAGUUCCUGUGAAUCCAUGGAUGGCCUAGCCGGCCGGAUGUGGUGGAGGGAUUGGAGGUAGGAAGGAAGCUUGUCGCUCUGGGCUGUUGUUGUUUGCUGAUCUUUAGGGAUGAGCAUCUGACGGACGGCUUGAUUACCGUUGCCUGACCGCGCGGUAUCGGAUCAUAUCUCGAGAAGCUGGUCUUAAGACAGGCUGCAAGUGGGCUGCUCGGCGUAGCUCCAAUAAAGCAGACCUGUCGAACACGUUAAUGGCAUUGUUGGAUUGACUGGGUUGUAAAAGGUAACCCGGUCUGUUGCUGUUUCCUUCGGGAAGCGAGUGGCGAGAUGAUGAGCAUUGGCAAUGAGAACGAUUAAGUGUCGUAAGGGCAUUUGGUGGAUGCCUUGGCAUGCACAGGCGAUGAAGGACGUGAUACGCUGCGAAAAGCCGUGGGGAGCUGCGAAUGAGCUUUGAUCCAUGGAUCU